GACGAAACAGCACAACCUGCUUUCUUCUUGUACUGAACUGCGUCUUAUCAUUACAGCACCUGACCUGAAAAGGUAGCAUGCGGAACCAUCAGUAAAAUCACGAUUUCAGCAUACACAGCACGUGUGAACAACAAUAUUGGAAAUGGUCAGCUGCCCUUGCAAUCUUGCAGCAGCCUCCAAGACACCGGAUACCGUAUUGUUCAGCUACAUAACAAUCAUCGAAGAGUUCAGCUGUCAGCCUGGGGAUUCAGGCGAUGAGCGACUACGACUAGAAGGUGGGGACAGGGGACACAAAAGCCGAAAAUGAUUACUACGCAACAUCGAGGAGGACGAGAAGCAGUCGCAACAUUGGAGAUUUCGGAUGCUAUAUUCUCGUGGUUCCACACACGAGCUGCAAAGUAGAGGGGACUGUUCUUGGAUUUGGCCAGAGCUCCAACUGCUUUUACUGGUAAUGUGCCAAAUAUUUCGUCGAACGAGAAGAACACGGAAUUGCCAAGUUGAGAAUCAUGUGACGGAAUCUUGAUGACCACAGCUGUAUCAGUGACCUCUCGUGCUCCCGAAGUGAACACUUCACCCCUUGGGUUCAAGAGAGUGAUGUUGAGACUCUGCGGCGACGAACUAAGAAUUGUAACGACGGUGUCAUCACCAAGGUCGCUGUCUAUGGUGAACGCCAAAGUUUCUUUGGUCGUGACAUUCACAGAUACUUCGGCAACCUGAAAUUUGCGACCACAAUAUUUUAAUAGUCAAACAGAAUUGUGCCCAGUAAAACAGCCUAUUUGGGAGUCGUACGGUUGCUACUCACCGUCAUUCGCAACGCACAACCUUCAAAACCUCCAACGGCCGAAGUGAACAUAGCAGAGUCUAUUUCUAAAUUGAUGUCACCGUGAUUUUGUUUAUGCUUGACAUCAUCAAGGAGCGAGUACAUUUGCCCUCCAGUUGCCUGAAUGAUCUCUUCCAGCUUCGCAUCCGCAUCAUUCCCAAAUGCAAGCGCAGACACUUUUACUUUUUCUUGGAUAAGCUUCGGCAAGACAUCGUGCAUAGUUGGACCGGUAUUUUCUUCUCCGUCUGUCAUCAAAAUUAUAGUGCCUCCUUCCGCAGUAUCAACUCCAGCCUUAAGCGCCUGCGACACACAAAAAUGGACCCCACAAAUUAUAACGCAGUUUCAGGAGCGUUGCAACGGGGUACCACACCCGACAUGUAACUAACACAAACAAUGGAGACACGAUAAAAGAGGCCCAAGGCUCUUAUUUUGGCAUUUUUGCACCGGAUCGCAGUGCUUUGCUACUUUUCUACGAUAAAAGAAGGAUGAACAAA